UAAAAUGAUUCGUUACAGUUUGGUUUUCUUGCUGUUAUCGAUAAUAAGAUGUGAUAAAGUUCAAAACGAUGUUCAUAUUCGUAUUAAUUCAAACUUGUAUUGUUACACCGGUUUUAAUUCCACUCAUUCCUGGUUUAUUAAAAAAAAAUUUCAGCAGCAACCAUUAAGGAUAUAAAAAGAUUCGCUCAAUUUUGUUGGAAGUAUCCAGGUCAUGUUGGUGUUAGUGUGAUGAAUGCUCCAGGUAUGAACCAUUUUUGAUAAAAGGUCAUGUUUUGUUGUGCAUUAAUAGGAUGGAACAGAUCAAUAUGGAAACGGAUUAAAAGAAGGACAAGUGUACGGUUAAAAAUUGAAAAAUUGUUUGAAAUAAAUUAUAUUUUGGUUAUAUUUAAUAAAAUUGGGAAAUUGCAUCACAUGAUUACGAAGAUCCUCUAAAUGGAAGAGCCUUGACACAGAUAACAGAUCAUGACAUCAGCUCGAAGUUUAAUUCUACUCAUUCUUGGUUUAUUGAAAACAACCGGAAAUGUGUUGCUACAAUAGAAAAUAUAAAAAAGCUGAACAUAUUUUGUCGUAAUAGAUAUUUUUAUGGUUCAGCUGGAGGAUAUAAUGGAGUCAUUACUCCUUCUAUGUAUGGUAAUAAUCAGCGAAGCGGUGAACCUCUAAAAUCUGGUGACAUAUUUAAUUAAUAUACAAACUAUAAAAUAAAAUUGCACUUACACUAACGUAGUACGUAAUAAUUUCUUUAACGUCAAAAUUAUUGAUUACUUUACUAUUUUAUUGUUAGUUGUUAAAAUAUUGCGUUAUAGUUUGUAUUUCUUGCUGCAUCAUGUGUAAAGGAUUUACGAAAAUUGUUACCAAUAUUGUUAAUCCACAUCAUUACUGUGAAUGUACAUAUUGAUUCAAGAUUUAAUGUCAACCAGAGUUUUGUAUCAAGAAGAUUUCGCGCGAAAUUAUUCACCUGAUGUCUGUACCUUGUAGAAGUAACCCAAUAAAGACUAUGAAAUAAAAUCUUAUAACAUA